AGUCGAGUGGUAAUGCACUUGACUGCAGACACUCAAGUCGGCGGUUCGAUUC
rnacentral:tRNA from 1 species